CGCGGCGAGCGAGCAUGGGUGGAGGAGCUGAGGGUGUGAGCAGGGCUGCAGCGGGCAGGUCCAAGGCAGGGAGAGUCUCCAUAACAGCUCUGCACGAUGGGAGGACCCCAAGACAGCAGCCCAAGGAGGACAGGCAUUCUCGUGAGACAGCCGGAAUCCAGGUCUUCAGCUCCUCUGUGGUGCCGCAGGGGCUCCUGGGAGUCCGCCAUCUUGUGGACAGUGAACGGCCAGCCGUCUGCUCUCUACUGGAUCUGAAGACAUCCCUGGGAGCAGAGCGGAUGUUGGUAGCAGAUUCCAGUAUGGGAAGCUCAGAGAAGUUUCCAGAUGGCAGAUUAUGGGAUUUUUUUCCGCCUUCAAAAUUGUGAGUUGACUUCCAUUUUAAAAAUUCCCUUACCUGUAUCUAUAUUUAUAUCCAUACAUGUAUCUAUCUGUAUCUUACUGGUUCUGUUUAUAUUGUGUAUAUGCAGUAGCUAUCAUAGACUUUUUUUUUAUAUUGCAGAAACUUUUUAUUUAUUUAUUUAUUUAUUUUUAAAGGUUUUUUAAUAUAUAAGAAAAUCAUCUUAAACAUUUCCCCCCAUCUUCCCAUAUGGAUAACUGCAGUAAUUAGAAAGAAUUUGGGGGAGAUUGUAACAUUAUUGCAUGUGAAAUCUUAGUGAAAAAGUUCCCCUUUCCACCAGUCUUGACCUAAAACCAAGGUGACUUUUUUUUUUGGUAUAAUGAUCAUAGCAAUCUAAUUUCACAGGAUUUCUAUCCCAUAGCCCAAGCAUACCCCCCCCACCCCAAAAACUCUCU